AACGCGAAGAACCUUACCUAGGCUUGACAUAUAGUGGACAGCACCAGAGAUGGUGCCUUCCUUCGGGACCGCUAAACAGGUGCUGCAUGGCUGUCGUCAGCUCGUGCCGUGAGGUGUUGGGUUAAGUCCCGCAACGAGCGCAACCCUUGUCAUUAGUUGCCAUCAGGUAAUGCUGGGAACUCUAAUGAGACUGCCUGGGUUAACCAGGAGGAAGGUGAGGAUGACGUCAAGUCAGCAUGGCCCUUAUGCCUAGGGCUACACACGUGCUACAAUGGCCGGUACAGAGGGCAGCCAAACCGCGAGGUGGAGCAAAUCCCCCAAAACCGGCCCCAGUUCAGAUUGUAGUCUGCAACUCGACUACAUGAAGUUGGAAUUGCUAGUAAUGGCGUGUCAGCUAUAACGCCGUGAAUACGUUCCCGGGCCUUGUACACACCGAUACUC
rnacentral:rRNA from 1 species